rnacentral:tRNA from 1 species
GCCUGGCUGGCUCAGUCAGAAGAGCAUGUGACUCUUGCGCUCACAGUCGUGAGUUCGACCCCCAUGUUGGGUG